ensembl:rRNA 5S_rRNA 5S ribosomal RNA
GUCUAUGGCCAGACCACCUUAAAUGUGCCCAAUCUUGUCUGAUGUCAGAAGUUUAGCAGGACUGAGGCUGGUUAAUACUUGGAUGGGAGACUGCCUUGGAAUACCAGGUGCCAUAGGCU